GUACAGUGGUACAACCAUGCUUCUAUGUGCAUUUUAUUAAACCAUGGGCGGAAACUGGUGUCAUGAGAAGGCGGGGAAACAAUCAUGGAGAAAUUGGCUCAGUACUUGGUUCAAAGUAAGUUUAUUUUUAGGUGUACCCUAUAGGGCAUUUUCAUCACUGCAGCAUAUGUCGAGUUGAAAUACUCAGAGAAUGUGAGCAAAAGCUACUUAAAGCGGCACUGUCACUGAAUUUGUACCUGGUCAUGACAUCACCGCUUGUGGCUGUGGAGGGGGCAGGUAAAGGUGAGUUUACUUACAUGAACCUGUCCCACGCUGGCGCCGCCAUCUUAGUCCAGUGUGGUCCUCUUCGGCACCAACGUUACUGCUGUACUCUUGCGCAUGCGUGAGAGUACAGCAUUGAGGUCUAUGGAGGUCCAUAGACACAGCUGCAGCAUUUGACUCUUAGACUCUGCUUUGUGUCUAAGAAAGUGAGGAGGAGGAGAAAUACAGAGACAAAUUAUUCCUUACUUUCUCUCUGUAUAUCUAUUAACUGGGUUGGAAUUUUGGUGAAACACAAACCUGUAUUUCUAACGCUAUAGUGUCCUGCAACCUAUCUAGUUUCUCUGUCCCCCUCCCUCUCCUGUGUGAGGGUUUCAAAGGUGAGUAUUACUUUUCAGCCCACGGCGCUCAGGUCUCCUCGCUGCUUCUCACUGGGAAGCAUUGAGAGGCUAGUACGCAUGCAGGCAAAAAGCUGCAUUGCGACACUCACAUUUUGCUCUAUGACCAGCAUUUGAUCUAUAAUCAAGUUUAACUUCUAACCAGUGUUAAUUUUGGCUGGAAAUUUCGGUUUAGUUGUAGUCGUAUUUUAGUCAUCUAGUUUUAGUUAUCUAAAUCUCCAGUAGAUUUUAGUUGACACAACUAAAAUCUAAUGGGUUUAGCUAAAGCCUCUAUCUGUCUCUUGCCCCUGUCUGUCUCUUUUGCCCCCCUUCCCUCUGUGGCUCUUUGUACCCCCAGCCAAUCUGUGUGUCUUUCCAUAUCCCCAUUUGGGGGUCUCUUCCUCCCAGCACAUUGUCUCUUUCUCCCCCAUGUGUCUCACAUACUCUCCUCCCUGCCCCAUGUGUUUUACCCACCAGUGUUAAUUUUGGAGACAAAUUUUAAUUUAGGGUUAGUCUUUUGACUAAAAAGCCAUUUUAGUUUUAGUCGUAUUUUGGUCAUCUGAAUUGUUUUAGUCGACUAAAUCUCAAAUUAUAAUUAACAGAGGAAGCUUCUUUAGUGGCCAUCAGCAAGACAGGCAGUAGAGGCAUGUUAAACCUGCAAUGUAAACAUUGCUGUUCCAAAACAACAUUAAUGUUCUACAUUGCAGGCUUAAACACGAAGGGGCAGGGCCGGCGUGUCCUAUAGGCGACUUAGGCAGUUGCCUAGGGCGCACCGGCCUGGGGGGCGCUAGAUUUAGGUGACUGGCAGCAGAGAAGCUACUUCCUGCCGGUCACUCAAUGCCGGUCAAUGUAGCGGGCCGCGGGACAGGAAC